UUCCCGAAGUUUGACAGCCGAGUGCCCGUUCCGCGUUCCACUUCCACGUCACGAACCGUCAAUUGAGAAAGCAGUCGCGUCGUCGUUUGCUCUUCACAAUUAAAUUGCUCGCGAAAGAAAUAACUAAUAUCCAAUAUGUUCAAACAAAUCCUCGCUCUGUGCGCGCUGUUUGCGGUGUUUAGCGUUUGCUUGUCCGAGGACGAGACACGUGCCCGCCUUCUGGUGUCAAAGCAGAUUCUGAAC